CUUACAACAAGUUUAAGAGGAUUUCAAUGUUAAUGUUUGAGUCUCACUUUUGAAUUGACUGCAACUGGAAAUGUGGCAUCUUUUCAAUCUUUGUAUCAUGCAAUCAAAAAAAGUAAUAAUGUGUA